rnacentral:hammerhead_ribozyme from 1 species
GUACUGUUGAAGAGUCCCAGACUAGGACGAAACAGCCGUCCAGUAU